GACGAACGCUGGCGGCGUGCUUAACACAUGCAAGUCGAACGGUGAAGCUCCAGCUUGCUGGAGUGGAUCAGUGGCGAACGGGUGAGUAACACGUGAGCAACCUGCCCCUGACUCUGGAAUAAGCGCUGGAAACGGCGUCUAAUACUGGAUACGAGAAGGGUCCGCAUGGGCACUUUCUGGAAAGUUUGUCGGUUGGGGAUGGGCUCGCGGCCUAUCAGCUUGUUGGUGGGGUAAUGGCUCACCAAGGCGAUGACGGGUAGCCGGCCUGAGAGGGCGACCGGCCACACUGGGACUGAGACACGGCCCAGACUCCUACGGGAGGCAGCAGUGGGGAAUAUUGCACAAUGGGCGGAAGCCUGAUGCAGCGACGCCGCGUGAGGGAUGACGGCCUUCGGGUUGUAAACCUCUUUCAGCAGGGAAGAAGCGAAAGUGACGGUACCUGCAUAAGAAGCACCGGCUAACUACGUG
rnacentral:rRNA from 1 species